GAUGAACGCUGGCGGCGUGCCUAAUACAUGCAAGUCGAGCGAACAGACGAGGAGCUUGCUCCUCUGACGUUAGCGGCGGACGGGUGAGUAACACGUGGAUAACCUACCUAUAAGACUGGGAUAACUUCGGGAAACCGGAGCUAAUACCGGAUAAUAUAUUGAACCGCAUGGUUCAAUAGUGAAAGACGGUUUUGCUGUCACUUAUAGAUGGAUCCGCGCCGCAUUAGCUAGUUGGUAAAGUAACGGCUUACCAAGGCAACGAUGCGUAGCCGACCUGGGAGGGUGAUCGGCCACACUGGAACUGAGACACGGUCCAGACUCCUACGGGAGGCAGCAGUAGGGAAUCUUCCGCAAUGGGCGAAAGCCUGACGGAGCAACGCCGCGUGAGUGAUGAAGGUCUUCGGAUCGUAAAACUCUGUUAUUAGGGAAGAACAAAUGUGUAAGUAACUAUGCACGUCUUGACGGUACCUAAUCAGAAAGCCACGGCUAACUACGUG
rnacentral:rRNA from 1 species